rnacentral:rRNA from 1 species
AGAGUUUGAUCCUGGCUCAGAGCGAACGCUGGCGGCAGGCUUAACACAUGCAAGUCGAGCGGGCGUAGCAAUACGUCAGCGGCAGACGGGGUGAGUAACGCGUGGGAACAUACCUUUUGGUUCGGAACAACCCAGGGAAACUUGGGCUAAUACCGGAUAAGCCCUUACGGGGAAAGAUUUAUCGCCGAAAGAUUGGCCCGCGUCUGAUUAGCUAGUUGGUGAGGUAACGGCUCACCAAGGCGACGAUCAGUAGCUGGUCUGAGAGGAUGAUCAGCCACAUUGGGACUGAGACACGGCCCAAACUCCUACGGGAGGCAGCAGUGGGGAAUAUUGGACAAUGGGGGCAACCCUGAUCCAGCCAUGCCGCGUGAGUGAUGAAGGCCCUAGGGUUGUAAAGCUCUUUUGUGCGGGAAGAUAAUGACGGUACCGCAAGAAUAAGCCCCGGCUAACUUCGUGCCAGCAGCCGCGGUAAUACGAAGGGGGCUAGCGUUGCUCGGAAUCACUGGGCGUAAAGGGUGCGUAGGCGGGUCUUUAAGUCAGGGGUGAAAUCCUGGAGCUCAACUCCAGAACUGCCUUUGAUACUGAGGAUCUUGAGUCCGGGAGAGGUGAGUGGAACUGCGAGUGUAGAGGUGAAAUUCGUAGAUAUUCGCAAGAACACCAGUGGCGAAGGCGGCUCACUGGCCCGGUACUGACGCUGAGGCACGAAAGCGUGGGGAGCAAACAGGAUUAGAUACCCUAGUAGUCC